AUUGAACGCUGGCGGCAUGCCUUACACAUGCAAGUCGAACGGCAGCACGGGUGCUUGCACCUGGUGGCGAGUGGCGAACGGGUGAGUAAUACAUCGGAACGUACCUUAUCGUGGGGGAUAACGCAGCGAAAGUUGCGCUAAUACGGCAUGCGCCCUGAGGGGGAAAGCGGGGGACCGUAAGGCCUCGCGCGAUUAGAGCGGCCGAUGUCUGAUUAGCUUGUUGGUGAGGUAAAAGCUCACCAAGGCGAUGAUCAGUAGCUGGUCUGAGAGGACGAUCAGCCACACUGGGACUGAGACACGGCCCAGACUCCUACGGGAGGCAGCAGUGGGGAAUUUUGGACAAUGGGGGCAACCCUAAUCCAGCAAUGCCGCGUGAGUGAAGAAGGCCUUCGGGUUGUAAAGCUCUUUUGUCAGGGAAGAAACAGCAGCUCUAACACAGUCUGCGAAUGACGGUACCUGAAGAAUAAGCACCGGCUAACUACGUGCCAGCCGCCGCGGUAA
rnacentral:rRNA from 1 species